rnacentral:rRNA from 1 species
UACGUAGGUGGCAAGCGUUGUCCGGAAUUAUUGGGCGUAAAGCGCGCGCAGGCGGUCCUUUAAGUCUGAUGUGAAAGCCCACGGCUCAACCGUGGAGGGUCAUUGGAAACUGGGGGACUUGAGUACAGAAGAGAAGAGUGGAAUUCCACGUGUAGCGGUGAAAUGCGUAGAGAUGUGGAGGAACACCAGUGGCGAAGGCGGUCUGCUGGGCGAGUUGGCUGACACUGGAGGCGCGACAGCGUGGGGAGCAAACAGG